GCAUAGCCUAAUUUGAAGGAGUCGACUGCAAGGAAAAAAUUUAUGACAGAUGUGAUGAAACUGUUAGAAUUGCAAUGGUGGGAAAAUACACAGGCCUUUCAUAUGCAUAUCUUUCUGUUCUGAAGGAUCUUGAGGCAUAUAAAGUUGCAUGAAAUCUUUUAAAGGGCGUUGAUGGUGUUCUAGUUCUUGGAGGUUUAGGUGAUGGAGGAGUGCAAGGGAAAAUUCUUGCGGCUAAGUAUGCUCGAGAACAUAAUGUUCCAUUUCUAGGCAUUUGCUUGGGGAUGCAAAUUGUUGUCAAUGAGUAGAGAUUUGUU
rnacentral:sRNA from 1 species